rnacentral:rRNA from 1 species
UGAAAUUCGCCUUCAUGAAGCCGGAAUUGCUAGUAAUGGCAGGUCAGCAUACUGCCGUGAAUACGUUCCCGGGCCUUGUACACACCGCCCGUCACACCAUGAGAGUUGGGAAUACCCGAAGCCUGUGAGCUAACGUUAAGAGGCAGCAGUCGAAGGUAGAAUCAAUGAUUGGGGUGAAGUCGUAACAAGGUACC